rnacentral:lncRNA from 1 species
AGUAAAGUUAAGUCAAAGUAUGUGGGAUAUUAUAUUGUGGUAUUAAAAGGAGUUUGGCCUCUUAGCUUACCUAUAUUAAAUCAAUGAAUUUUUUUUCUUGUUUCCCAUGAACUGAUCGAAUUCAGUGAUCUAUGGAGUUCACUGGGGGGUGUGCUUUUCAGAUCGUCUCAAAGUUCCUGAAAAAUCCAAAAUCAUCAUCAUCAAUCAUUAUCAUCAUCACCAUCAUCAUCAUGGCCUGGAUCUCGAGCUCUCAUUCUUGGAAGAAAUAUCACAUAGCUGCCUGGAAUGCCUCUUAAGGUCAUCUCACGAGAAAUCACAAGUUGAAGUCAUGGUGCUGUUAUUUUCAACUACUUCCUCACUUGCUGAAACACAUGCAGGAACUUCACAAAUAGAAUUUCCUGAGGCUAAGCUGACAGGUGCACUGAAGGCAGCCGAUGAGGUAAGAAAGACUGUGGGAUCUGAAUGACCCAGGUUUAAACUCAGUUACUGUCAUUUCCUCAUCCGUGUAGCAAAAGGCACUUAAUUGCCCUGUGUCUCAAUGCCUCACCUGGGGAAAUAGG